rnacentral:rRNA from 1 species
GAUGAACGCUGACAGCAUGCUUAACACAUGCAAGUCAACUGUGGCGGACGGGUGAGUAACGCGUAAAGAACUUGCCUCACAGCUAGGGACAACAUUUGGAAACGAAUGCUACUACCUGAUACUGUGAGAGAGCUUUGCGUCCCAUUAGCUAGGUGGAGAGGUAACGGCUCACCAAGGCGAUGAUGGGUAGCCGGACUGAGAGGGUGAUCGGCCCCAAGGGGACUGAGACACGGCCCUUACGCAUACGGGAGGCAGCAGUGGGGAAUAGUGGACAAUGGACCAAAGUCUGAUCCAGCAAUUCGGUGUGCACGAUGAAGUUUUCGGAAUGUAAAGUGCUUUCAGUUGGGAAGCGGUACCAACAGAAGAAGUGACGGCUAAAUACGUGCCAGCAGCCGCGGUAAUUC